rnacentral:misc_RNA from 1 species
UCGUUCAGGUUUAGAACCAAACCGUUCUUCACUUCACCAAUCGCUCCUUUCGGCGAUAGCAGUGGUCAAGGUCGACCCUGCUACUUAAAAAUAAUCUUGAAUUACUUUUAACAUCGUGGAAUAAAUCACAUCCAGCAAUAUGUCUAGUAGUUGGAACAAUAGCCGUGGUGGAAGCGGUGGUUCCAAAUUUGGCGGAGAAAGGAAGUUCGGGAGCAGCAACGGCUCAUCACGAUUCAGUAAUGGAGGAUCAAAGUUCGGCGGUAGUGGAGGCGGCGGUGGCAACAGAUUUGGUGGUUCUGGCGGCGGUUUUGGCGGCGGCGGUGGCAAGAAAGACUUCACUGGCGGUCAAAACAUGCGCCGGCCCAACUGGGAUACUAUGUCUCUGCAACCAUUCAACAAAGAUUUCUACAACCCACACCCAACAGUUCUAAACAGAUCUCCCUAUGAGGUAGAGGAAUAUAGAAGCAAAUAUGAGAUCACUGUCAGUGGGCUGGAUAUCCCAAACCCCAUUCAGAAUUUUGAUGAAGCCAAUUUUCCUGAUUAUGUCAAUCAAAGCAUAACCAACAUGGGAUACAAGGACCCAACACCUAUCCAAGCACAAGGCUGGCCUAUUGCUAUGUCUGGAAAGAACUUAGUAGGCAUUGCCCAGACUGGCUCAGGAAAAACUCUGGCUUACAUUUUACCUGCUAUUGUGCAUAUCAACAACCAGCCCCCUAUUAGGCGGGGUGAUGGUCCCAUUGCUUUGGUUCUUGCACCAACUCGUGAAUUAGCACAACAAAUCCAACAAGUUGCUUCUGACUUUGGUAACUCUGCCUAUGUCCGUAACACUUGUGUAUUUGGUGGUGCACCCAAGAGAGAGCAAGGCCGUGACUUAGAACGGGGUGUAGAAAUUGUAAUUGCUACCCCUGGUAGAUUGAUUGAUUUCUUAGAAAAGGGUACCACAAAUUUGCAGAGAUGCACAUAUUUGGUCCUAGAUGAAGCUGACCGAAUGUUGGACAUGGGUUUUGAACCCCAAAUUAGAAAAAUCAUUGAACAAAUUCGCCCUGAUAGACAAACUUUGAUGUGGUCAGCAACAUGGCCGAAGGAAGUAAGAAAAUUAGCUGAAGAUUACCUGGGAGAUUACCUCCAAAUUAACAUUGGAUCACUACAGUUAUCAGCUAACCACAACAUCUUACAAAUUGUAGAUGUUUGCCAGGAACAUGAAAAAGAAAACAAAUUAAAUGUACUUUUACAAGAAAUAGGACAGAGUCAAGAGCCUGGUGCCAAAACAAUUAUCUUUGUAGAAACUAAGAGGAAAGUAGAAAAUAUCACUAGGAAUAUAAGACGAUAUGGAUGGCCUGCAGUUUGUAUGCACGGUGACAAAACUCAACAGGAGAGAGAUGAAACACUAUAUCAAUUUAAGCAAGGCCGUGCCAGUAUACUUGUUGCAACUGAUGUUGCAGCCAGAGGACUUGAGGCACUGGCGGAAGGUUAUUGUGUUCUAUCUGAUUACUGCCCGAAUUUAAUGGGCAAGUCACUACUGCACUGGAUUUGUAGAUGAUGUAGUCUGAUGCAGUACAUUGUUUAGAGAAUGCAAUAACUCGUCAAUAUAACGGUGCCUCAUUAGUGCCUUUCACUGUGAUUGGACCCGAGGCCGGAAAGCUUGAUGGUAUGUCCGUCUAUCUGUACGGACGGAUACACUUGAGAGUGUGGAAAACCUGGUGAUGCACUAGUAUAUAGAGUAAGAGUACCGAGAUGAAAGAUUCUCCGAUGUGCAUUGUUGAAAAACUUGACCACAGUUGAGAUGUUAUCGGCAGAGGGUCAAGGGUUUUCUAUUUCGGCCAAAUGGAGUUUUGGAUGGGGCAAUAUCAAUAUUACAAAGAUUUUACAACAAAUAAACUAAACAUCAUGCCCUUAAUAAGACUCCUGGGUUCUGAGUGAGAGGCAAAUAUUGAAUUGUAUUUGGUACAUAUCUGUGUAACUCAUUCAUAUGUUGAUGGAAUAAAAUACGUUAUUAACUUUGAUUAUCCUAACUCAUCUGAGGAUUACAUUCACCGGAUUGGCAGAACAGGACGUUCAAAAUCAAAAGGCACAUCUUAUGCCUUCUUUACACCCUCCAACUCUCGUCAAGCCAAAGACCUUGUGUCAGUUCUACAAGAAGCUAAUCAGGUGGUGAACCCUCAACUCCAAACCAUGGCCGACCGCUGCGGCGGUGGAGGCGGAGGCUGGAACAGAAACAGAUACGGGGGUGGCCGCGGAGGCGGCGGUUCCUUCAAACGUGGAAGCAACUUCGGUAGGGGAAAUGGUGGCGGCAGCAACGGUGGUGCAGGCCACAAGAGAUUUAAUGACUAUUAAUUUUAAAGUACAAAGUAAUUAAUUAGUAGCAAUCCUCAUACGAGUACUUGUGUGGAAUUUAGUGUUAAGGCGUGUAGAAAUGCUGAUUGGUUGAUAUUGCAGUUUGUGGUUGCAUAACAGGCUAGAUUCGAGUUUAAUUGAAUAUUGUCUACUAGCAUCUUGAACAUCCCUGAAUGUACUAAGCAUAUUUUGUUUACACUGUGAUAUUUUUUUAAUCUGUGAUUCCGCAGAGGAUUAGCUAAUUUAUAGUGCUACUAAGACAAUACCUUACAGUAUUUGUCUUGUGGAGGACUUGCUCUCAACUAUUUAUUUAAUUUAAAUAAUUUUCAGGAAUAUCUCAAUAAGCAUGAGAUAAUAUUUCAUCACUUGUGCUCGUCAUUCCAUGCCCCUUCCCGAUAACAUGUAAUAAUAAAUAAUCAAUAAAUGUAAUUUUAAUUA